rnacentral:rRNA from 1 species
AUUGAACGCUGGCGGCAGGCCUAACACAUGCCAGUCGAACGGUAACAGGAAGAAGCUUGCUUCUUUGCUGACGAGUGGCGGACGGGUGAGUAAUGUCUGGGAAACUGCCUGAUGGAGGGGGAUAACUACUGGAAACGGUAGCUAAUACCGCAUAACGUCGCAAGACCAAAGAGGGGGAGCUUCGGGCCUCUUGCCAUCGGAUGUGCCCAGAUGGGAUUAGCUAGUAGGUGGGGUAACGGCUCACCUAGGCGACGAUCCCUAGCUGGUCUGAGAGGAUGACCAGCCACACUGGAACUGAGACACGGUCCAGACUCCUACGGGAGGCAGCAGUGGGGAAUAUUGCACAAUGGGCGCAAGCCUGAUGCAGCCAUGCCGCGUGUAUGAAGAAGGCCUUCGGGUUGUAAAGUACUUUCAGCGGGGAGGAAGGGAGUAAAGUUAAUACCUUGACUCAUUGACGUUACCCACAGAAGAAGCACCGGCUAACUCCGUG